GGGAGGGCGCAGCGGCAGAGCGCCCGCCGGCCGACAAGACCGGCUGGGGCGGGGCGGGCAGUAGGAGAGGCGGGUCCAAGGCCCUGCGCCGAGGGUGAGGGAAGGUUGGUCGGGACCGGCUGCUGAGCGCUUUUGUCACAACCUUUGCCCGUCCUGGGGCCGCCUCGAGAGCCGUCUUCGUUGGGACCAGCCGGGUGGGGCAGGCGGGCGGUUUUAGGGCUUGGUGCCUCGUGCAUGCUGUCGGCGGAAGGCUAAGCUGCGGAAGCCACGGAUUCGUUUGUUCUGCCUGAGAAAGGACUGACGUCUUUGGUUCUGGAUAUAAUUCCCGAGGACUAGAGCUCCUCCGAGAAACCCAGGCACCUCACUCUUGUUCCGGUGGCUGAGGCAGGAGUCCUAAACUUAAACUGGACCUUCUCCUAGGAGAGUGCGGAAUCCCCUCAAGGGCAGCUUCAUCUUCAGAGUGGGGAACCACACCCAGGUUCUAGAACGUCUUCCUGCCUUGAGGGCAAGUAGGGUUGGAGAGGCAAACUCAAUUCCUCAUUAUGUCCAAAAACAUACCCUAGGAUCUCGGAAAGAAAUGUCUUACUAUUUUCUUGCCCCACCCUUUCUGCCUGGGAAAAUCUUACUAUCUCCCUGGAGCAGGUUUGCAUCCUGAUGAGUCACCAGUUUCAUUUCUGAUUGAAGCUUCUGGGACAUUCAAGGUGUCCCAGUGAUGAAUUGAGGACUUUAACUGGAAGAUUUGUCACAAUGUUUCUGUAGUCUGAGCCAUUUUUCAUCAACAAUUUUGUCGUUGUCGAAUGUACCUAGACCAUUCCCGCUGCCUCCUAACUGCGUAACAGCAAGGCAAGACUCAGCCCCUCUUAGUAAAAAUUAUAUGGUCAGAAGGAAUUAUCAGUCUCUCUUUCAAGAAUGGAAGUCAAUUUUUAAUCAGAAGUGCUUACAAGCUCGAUUGAAGGCCAAAAGAAAAUGCUUCUAAUAAAUGCACUUUUGCUUUAAUUCAUCUUGCUAUUCUUGAGCUCUGAUACCCAAAGAAUUUAGUCUCCUAGUGCUAACAAAUUUGCUGGUUGGUUUCCUAUGACACAGCUUAAGGCCUUUUUAAACAUGACUUGUUUCAAAUGUUUGUGAAACAUUUACAAAAAUUACAAGACUUAAAGCAGUGGUGUGACUUUGCACUUUCCAAAAUUGUAUCAGUUGAUAAUGUAAGGAUAAUACUGCACCAGUAUUAUCAGUAACAGCAACAGUAAGCAACAGUAAACUCUUCCUAAAAGCGUGCAGAGUCCAAAAGCUCAAAUUUCAGACUAUGGUAUUGAGACCUGUAAGUUCUUUCAUUACUGCAGUAAAAAUUCUUAAAGUGAUUUCUGGAAAAAAAAACCCACAAUGUACUGCCUGGUUUCACACAUAUUCCCAUCUCUGGCAUUACAAGCUUUGUCCUCACUGAUGGCUAGCCUGCUGCCUUUGCUAGGCUUUUCCACAUUGCUUAAAUGUGGUACUGAUUCUCCACCAGGAGCUAUUCUGCUGGUCUCAUGUGCUACUUUUGCUUUAAGGAUGUGUGGCUAUUGCUCAGUAUGUCCAUAUCUCCCAGGUCUCCUUUGUACCCAUUUGGACUGAGGGGGCAGGGGUCUUUAUUGCCCCCAGCGUCAGUCUCCCAUUGACAUAAAAGCCAGCUGGAGUCUGUUCUGGUUUCUUUUUCAAGUGGACUAGCAGGUUAACAUAUGAAUGUAAAAAGUGUAUGUGUGUAAAAUAAGUAUGAAUGUAAAAAGCAUAUACUUGGGCAUCCCUUGCAAUGACCUCACAGGAGCCUGCAGUAAGGGCCUCUGAUGUGCUUUUUGAAAUAGGGCUACAAGGGAAGAAGUCAUCAAUCUUGCCUGUCAAUAGUUGACUGCUCCACGAAAUUUCUGCCUGCAUGGUCGUACAGUGAUCUCAGUGCCAGGUGCUUAGAAAUAAGGCAAUCUUGCCAGUAUUAUCUGCCCAUAGCUGGCACAUAUAAAUGAGUACUUUCUCUGUGGCAGCGACUGUGCUAAGUGUUUUACAUACAAUAUUUUGUGACAUCAUCUCUUAAAACAAGGCCAGGAACAGCUCUGCAUGUGAAGUUUGCUAGAAGGGGAGCUGGACUGAAGACUGGACAGAAAGCCUUUUUAGUGACAGGAGUGAAUACCUGGGAAUCCUUGUUGCUCGAGCCUUAAGCUGUGAUGCUGACCAUCUUUCCUGGGAGUCAUUUGCAAGACCAAAAUAUUCUAUCUUUGAAGAGCUAGAUCUUCUUCUGCUACUUUGCAAGAAAGUAAACAUUCUGAACAAAGAAUCAGACUUUUUUUUACUGUUGUACACUACAGAAGGAAAAAAACCUUCUGGGAGACCCUUAUGAUAACAUCACCCCAAGCGGCCACUGGAUUUGACUUUUUGUUACCAAACAGCAGUCCAAGCCUGGAGCAGGCCAGGGCCACAUCCUUCUUCACCGGACACCUACCCUGUCUGCUGCCACCUUUCUCAGAACCUUCCCAACCAACUGUAAGACCACAAGGAGAAAGCAAGUCCUCUAACCAAAGCAGACAGGGGACAUAUCAAGACUGGAGGCCAAGACAAAGGCCCUCAAUGAAGAGUCACAGACUUUCAUGUCUUCUAAAGAUAUUUAUUACCAUUCCAACAGAUUUCAACAGGGAAAGGCAUGAUCCUUAAUUUCCAAGUCUCCUAUGGAACCCACUGAAGACUCCAGAGCUCUGUUUGUCUUUCUCUGACAGAGGUGGGGGAAGUCUCGAUCUCUGCAAAAGGUAAA